GUGCCAGCCGCCGCGGUAACACGGACUGCGCGAACGUUAUUCGGAAUCAUUGGGCUUAAAGCGUCCGUAGGCGGCCGUGCAGGUGAGGUGUGAAAUCCCUCGGCUUAACCGAGGAAUUGCGCUUCAAACCACACGGCUUGAGAGAGAUAGAGGUGAGCGGAACUCACGGUGGAGCGGUGAAAUGCGUUGAUAUCGUGAGGAACACCGGUGGCGAAAGCGGCUCACUGGGUCUCCUCUGACGCUGAGGGACGAAAGCUAGGGGAGCGAACGGGAUUAGAUACCCUGGUAGUCC
rnacentral:rRNA from 1 species